rnacentral:lncRNA from 13 species
UGUGUGUGUGUGUGUGUGUGUGUGUGUUUGUGUCUGUGCGAGCGUGUUCAUGUGUGUGAAUGAGUCAUUGCCAGAUAAGGUGUCGGUCUGGACUAUGUUACUUCAUAGGAAUUUUAUUAUACCCUGUAUCGUCAUGUUGAAGGUUGUCCUGAGAAAUCCAGAAAAUCAAAUCCCUGGGUUUUCUGAGAUAGCAUUCUGCCGGAGUCUGCCCAUGUCAACAGUAGUGCACUGUUUAGGUCAGGGGGUGCUAUUUGGGAUACACAUCUAGUCAGGUGGGAGUCAGAUGAAGGAGAGAAUGAGGGAGGAAUGGAGGGGGGGAAUGGAGGGAGGAAUGGAGGGGGAGAGGUUUGGGCUACAGGGGGUCAGUCACAAUGGUUCUUUAUUUCUUUCUUCCUUGCAUCUCUUUCCAACAAGUCAUGGUCUUUUUUUGUUUCAGCUUCAUGCGGAAUGUCCCCUCUCUCUCCCUCCCCCCUCCUUCCCGCCUUCUCUCUCUCCCCCCUUCCUCCCUCUCCCUCUCCCUCUCCCUCUCUCCUAUCCCUGGUUCUUAUCAUAGUGAUGGUGUGGUCUCUGUGGUGGCAGCCAUUGUUGCUGUUUGUGCUAAGGCGAAAAUCCAUCCAAUUACUCCUCUGUUGUCUUAUGUAAACAGAGAAGAGAGCGGGAGAGAGAAAGAGAGACUAUUUGGGCUCUGAGGAGAGAUAGGCGUGCGACCAUGCAGUUAAAUCUAAGGUAUGAGUCCAAGAGUGUGUUUGCUUGUGUGUGAAUGCGUGCGUGUGUGCGUGCGUGUAAGUACGUGUGCUUCAUAUGAUGCAUUGGAAAAUGGCUAUAGUAUCAUACUAUGGUCCCUACGUCUAAGCCUGCGUCAUCACCGGUACGUGUGUCAUUUGGAACACUCAUGCUGUCUCUGGAGCUCAUAUUCAUAUCACAGACAGGUUAUAUCAGGACAGACUGUUGGCUUGAAGGAGGAGAGGAAGAGAAGGAAGGAGAGCGAGAGAGAGAGAGAGAGAGGGAAGGGUAGAACCAGGAGGCCAUAUGCUGUGUCACCACAGAUCAAAGAGUGUCGACAUUGGAGAAUCAGAGCGGCAGAUGGACUCUCAGUCACACACACACACACACACACACACACACACACACACACACACACACACACACACACACACACACAC